rnacentral:rRNA from 1 species
GACGAACGCUGGCGGCGUGCCUAAUACAUGCAAGUAGAACGCACAGUUUAUACCGUAGCUUGCUACACCAUAGACUGUGAGUUGCGAACGGGUGAGUAACGCGUAGGUAACCUGCCUGGUAGCGGGGGAUAACUAUUGGAAACGAUAGCUAAUACCGCAUAAUAUUAAUUAUUGCAUGAUAAUUAAUUGAACGGUGCAAUUGCACCACUACCAGAUGGACCUGCGUUGUAUUAGCUAGUAGGUGAGGUAACGGCUCACCUAGGCGACGAUACAUAGCCGACCUGAGAGGGGGGUCGGCCACACUGGGAAUGAGACACGGCCCAGACUCCUACGGGAGGCAGCAGGAGGGAAUCUUCGGCAAUGGACGAAAGUCUGACCGAGCAACGCCGCGGGAGGGAAGAAGGUUGUCGGAUCGUAAAGCUCUGUUGUAAGAGAAGAACGGGUGUGAGAGUGGAAAGUUCACACUGUGACGGUAUCUUACCAGAAAGGGACGGCUAACUACGUG